rnacentral:rRNA from 1 species
UACGUAGGGUGCGAGCGUUGUCCGGAAUUAUUGGGCGUAAAGGGCUCGUAGGCGGUUUGUCGCGUCGGGAGUGAAAUCCACUGGCUUAACUGGUGGCUUGCUUUCGAUACGGGCAGACUGGAGGUAUGCAGGGGAGAACGGAAUUCCUGGUGUAGCGGUGGAAUGCGCAGAUAUCAGGAGGAACACCGGUGGCGAAGGCGGGU